rnacentral:tRNA from 1 species
GGAGGGGUGCCGGAGUGGUCGAACGGGACGGUCUCGAAAACCGUUGUGCCUUUGCGGGUACCGUGGGUUCGAAUCCCACCCCCUCCGCCA